CUAAAUUGUAAGCAGCAACUCGAAGAACUCUGCCAGCCCCCGCCGCUGAACUACAGCCCUACCCAGUCUUCUCUAUCUCUCAUCUCUCGUCGCCCGUCGGCGACGCCGUCCGCGGCCGUCCUCCGUCCGCCGCCGCAAGUACCCGGUGCCGCUGCCCUCCUACGCGACGUUCGCUGCCCUCCGCAAAUCGCCAGACUCCGCCGCUCCUCCACGAGCUGCUGCGCCGCUUCUCUUUCAGACCGCCGUCCGUCCGCCGCCCGCAACUCACGCACACGCUGGCAGAGGGGAUAGGGGAAUCAUUGCCACUGUUCAUGGCUGCACAAUGAGAAACAAUGCUGAUUGUUUGUUGGAUGCUUCAAUCUUUUCAAUUGAACGAUGCAGCUUUGUGUUGUAACCUUAAUAUUUUAUUCACCUUUGAGCGAAUCCAUUGGUUCGAUAAUACUUGGCUUUCUCUCUUGAGCUGGAAUGGUAUUCUAGUUGAUUGAAAGUCAUUUAGGAUUAGUGAAUGCAUUUUGAUCACCAUGUGGAAAAUUUUGGACAUUCUUGCUGUCAAAUAAUUGCAACUCCAGUGGCAGCGGACUUCGAAAAGAAUGUCUUCUUCACAAACUCUGGAAUAUGAAGCUGAAGAUGCAGUCUCAUAGUAUUCCAGCAAGGACUCGACGUUGAACCACCAACACCACGCCUCCCACGAACAGCAACAUUUCCUAGGCAGCCGCCGCUACCCUGCUACCUUCUACCGACUUUGCCCAAACCUACAACAGCCCCAGUCCCUUGCUCCCACUUGGCUCACAACAGCAACACACUAAACCAAGUCCCGGCUCGAUUGCAGCCACAACUCAACAUCUAGUAAAUCUAUCAGUGAGGUGAUACAACAUUUAAAUGCAUCGAACUGUGGUAUUGUGGAGCCGUGGAGCAAUCAGAAACAGAGCUGUGAUUUUCCUGCACAAUUCAACACUUAUCAACACUCAAUUGAAUAAUGAUGUGCAUUCCAGAAAUGAUAACGCGGGUUUUCUCUUUAGAGCAUUUACAUACAGCAGUUACACAUUCACGAGGCGGCCGCCUGAUCCGAACGACCCGGCCACCUUGAUGAAGGAGGACGGCGUGGCGGUUUGUUCCCAAAUGUGGACUGAGAAUUUCAGGGAGCCUGAUAAGAGUGUCACUAAUUUGACAAAUUAUUUGAGAAGGUUCGAGUUGUGGGUGUUGGCUUACCAGAAGGUGUGUGCUGAUGCGACUGGGUCAUACAUGCCCCGCAGCUCCAUCACGCGUUCCGCGCUCGAGGACUUGCUAGCGCUGCGCAAUGCAGUCCUUGAUUGCAGGUUUAAGUGGGGGGCUAGGUUAGACUUCUUUAUCAGAUCCCCCAAUGACAAGACUGAUUAUGAGUCCUUGUCGAAGAGGAAGAUUAGGGCAAUCUUGACUACCACACAGCCUUCCCCUUUCCAGGAUAGGAUUGUGCAGGAGGUGCUUUUGAUGGUCUUGGAGCCAAUUUACGAGGCGAGGUUUUCGCAAAAGUCGUAUGCGUUUAGGCCUGGGAGGAAUGCCCACACGGUGCUGAGGGUGAUCAGAAGGAGUUUUGCAGGUUACUUGUGGUAUAUAAAAGGAGAUUUGAGUACAGUGCUAGAUGGUAUGAAGGUUGGAAUGGUGAUCAAUGCUGUGAUGAGGGAUGUUAGGGAUAAGAAGGUGAUUGAUUUGAUAAAGGCUGCAUUGACCACACCAGUUGUCACGAGUAGGGUUGAUGAUGGGGACAAGAAAAAGAAGAAGAAACGCAAGUAUCAGAAGAAGAGGGUUUUGGCAGAGGACGAGCCGAAGCCUGAUCCGUAUUGGUUGGAGACAUUUUUCGGGUUUGCACCAGAGGAGGCUGAGGUGCAUCCUUCUUGGGGUCAUUGUGGAAUCCUUAGUCCUCUUUUGGCUAACAUAUGCCUCGAUGAACUGGACCGCUGGAUGGAAGGCAAGAUUAAGGAGUUCUAUAGGCCGUCUGCGAGUGACGUCAUAUGGAACAAUCCUGAUGGGGAGGCGGAGCAAGGGACUACAUCGUGGCCGGAAUUUGUUCCUACAGCUGGUCCUGAUAAGACUAGGAAGAUUGAUUACAUACGUUAUGGUGGUCACGUCUUGAUUGGAGUUAGAGGACCAAGGGCAGAUGCAGCAACUCUAAGAAAGCAGUUGAUACAGUUCUGUGACGAGAAGUAUAUGCUAAAACUGGAUAACGAGUGCCUCCCCAUUGAGCAUAUAACUAAAGGUAUUAUGUUUCUUGACCAUGUGUUAUGCCGUAGAGUUGUGUAUCCUACUCUUCGAUAUACAGCUACUGGUGGGAAAAUUAUUAGUGAAAAGGGUGUGGGAACAUUGUUGUCAGUUACGGCUAGUUUGAAGCAGUGCAUUAAGCAAUUUAGGAAGUUGAGUUUUCUCAAGGGAGAUAGAGACCCGGAUCCACAGCCCUGUUUUAGAAUGUUUCAUGCUACACAGGCUCACACGAAUGCUCAGAUGAACAAGUUUUUGUCAACAAUGGUUGAGUGGUACAGAUAUGCGGAUAACAGGAAGAAAAUAGUCAACUUUUGUUCGUACAUCCUUAGAGGCUCACUAGCAAAGCUCUAUGCUGCAAAAUACAAGCUGAGGUCAAGAGCUAAGGUUUACAAGAUUGGGGCUAGGAAUUUGAGCCGCCCUCUAAAGGAAAAGAAAGGGCAAUCGCCCGAGUUCCAUAAUUUGUUGAGGAUGGGUCUUGUAGAGUCAAUUGAUGGGCUUCAGUAUACCCGAAUGUCUCUAGUACCUGAAACGGACUAUUCCCCGUUGCCACUAGGUUGGAGACCAGAUCAUGAGAAAGCAUUGCUUGAAUAUAUAAGGCUUGAGGACUCAAGGACUCUGGAGGAGCAACGAGACUGCCUUAAAGAAUGUGGCCUGGUUUCACCUCAGGAUUACAUUUCAAUGCUUGUAUGGAACUACAAAAGGAAUGCCAUUUCAGUAAAUCAUGUUUCUUAUACGCUAAGUAGCAAGAAUGGAAUAAAAACCGAAUCUGGUUUGUUGAGCUCAAAUGAUGAAAGCAUUGAGGACGACGAGGAAGGAGGUAUUAGUGCAGCACAAAUAGCCUAACUUAUCUAGCAUAUUUUUCCUUUGGAAUUUGGAAGCACUUCUGUCUUCAUUAGCUCAUUUCCUGUGACAAAUGUGUGUUUACUGAGUUCUGUAUAAAUUCUCUCAAGUGACUUCCAACGCCUUGGACAUGAAGCUCAGGGACGAUCUUGAACCUUUGAAGAAGAUCAGGAACCACCAUGGUCUCCGUCACUAUUGGGGCCUUCAUGUGUGUGGUCAGCACGCAGGGGAAAGACUGUUGGUGUCUCAAAGACUUGGAUACUGCUUCAAUUUUGUCAGCUCAAUUUGGUUAGGGACGAUUGAGUCAAUAGAAUUUGUGAUUUUGUUUACCAAUAUUUGUUAGCUCAUUUCUCUGUUGCAUCUUUCCAUAAUUUCUCUGUUUCUGAGGCUUUUGUUUUAUCUGCUAUUGGUUCUUGAUUGACAAUUUUCACGUUUCAGAUUGCUGCCCAUUCUCUCACUAGAAUACCAUUGGCACAUGAAAGGAAUCAACACGAACAAGAUAUAUCACAGGAAUGUAUGAGGCAGAUGGGAAGACCAUUGCAGGAUGUCAUUUCAGAAUGGAUAAGACCAUUGGGGCUUAAAAGCACUUGUUAGGAGCAUAUAUUCUGCCUUCAAUAAACUUGGAUGAUUGAUAUUUGUUUUCUGUUAUUCAAAAAUCUUGUGUACCUAUACAAGUAUUUAGUAACAUCGUCUAUAGUAUAUCCAUAUGUAAGUAAAUAUGUCUACACACGCAUGGAUGUGCAUUCCACUCGAGGGGCCUGUUUUGGAUGAAUUGGAACUUUUUGAAUUUCCAAAGGUCCAUGGUUAUUUCAA